UACGGAGGGUGCGAGCGUUGUCCGGAUUUAUUGGGUUUAAAGGGUGCGUAGGUGGCUUUAUAAGUCAGUGGUGAAAUACAGCCGCUCAACGGUUGAGGUGCCAUUGAUACUGUAAAGCUUGAAAUAAUUGGAGGCUGCCGGAAUGGAUGGUGUAGCGGUGAAAUGCAUAGAUAUCAUCCAGAACACCGAUUGCGAAGGCAGGUGGCUACGAUUUGUUUGACACUGAGGCACGAAAGCAUGGGGAGCAAACAGG
rnacentral:rRNA from 1 species